rnacentral:rRNA from 1 species
UACGAAGGGGGCUAGCGUUGUUCGGAAUUACUGGGCGUAAAGCGUGCGCAGGCGGCUUUGCAAGACAGAUGUGAAAUCCCCGGGCUUAACCUGGGAACUGCAUUUGUGACUGCAUGGCUGGAGUGCGGCAGAGGGGGAUGGAAUUCCGGCGUGUAGCAGUGAAAUGCGUAGAUAUGCGGAGGAACACCGAUGGCGAAGGCAAUCCCCUGGGCCUGCACUGACGCUCAUGCACGAAAGCGUGGGAGCAAACAGG